AGAGUGGGUCGGGCGGUCGCUGGCCCGCCUCGGGCGGGCCGGAGGAAAGUCCGAGCAGGACAGGGCACGGUGGUGGUUAACGGCCACCCGAGGCAACUCGCGGGAAAGUGCCACAGAAAAUACACAGCCGAUGGUUUCGAUUCGUCGGGACACAGGCAAUGGUGAAAAGGUGCGGUAAGAGCGCACCGCGUCGCCGGUGACGGCGGCGGCAGGGUAAACCCCACCGCCUGCAAGACCAAGCAGCUGGUCGGGUCCCAUUUUGCGACUUAUUGCAAAAUGCGGCCCGGUACUUAGCCCGGGUAUUAACGGCAGGUAGGUCGCAUCCCGGUAUAUCGGGAGAGCCAGCCGGUAACGGUUGGUCCAGAUAAAUGGCCGCCGCCCGUCAGAAAUGACGGCGCACAGAACUCGGCUUACAGACCCGCUCUUGUU
rnacentral:RNase_P_RNA from 1 species